UACUAGAGUAGCACUCGCAUAUCAAUAAGCGGAGGAAAAGAAACUAACAAGGAUUCCCCUAGUAACGGCGAGUGAAGCGGGAAGAGCUCAAAUUUGAAAUCUUAAGGGGUUUCCCUUUACGAAUUGUAGUUUAAAGAAGUGUUUUCUGUUGAGGUUUUGGUAAAAGUUCUUUGGAAUAGGACAUCAUAGAGGGUGAGAAUCCCGUAUUUGACCUUUACUUUCAACUUUGUGAUACACUUUCAAAGAGUCGGAUUGUUUGGGAAUGCAGUCCAAAAUGGGUGGUAAAUUUCAUCUAAAGCUAAAUAUUGGCGAGAGACCGAUAGCGAACAAGUACCGUGAGGGAAAGAUGAAAAGAACUUUGAAAAGAGAGUUAAACAGUACGUGAAAUUGUCAAAAGGGAAGCGUUUGACACCAGUGUUGUUUUUCUGAAAAUCAAUUAAAGAACUGUUUAUGCUAAGUUGUUUAGACUUUAUCAGCUAACUGUUUAGUUUUGAGCUUUUCUUUAAUGCACUUUUCAGUUAACAAGUCAACAUCAAUUUCUUUUGCUGUAAAAAAGCUUGAGGAAGGUGGCUUGAGAUUCGUCUUAAGUGUUUAUAGCCUCUUGCCUAUGCAGUCGGAGAGAUUGAGGUCUGCAGCGUAGAUCCUUCGGGCUAAAUGCAUUUGUGCUAAGUUAUAGCAUUUUAUAGACAACUUGUUGACUAUGAUUUGUCUUGUAGCUUACUCGCUUAUGUUAUUUUACCUACGCUUAGGAUGUUGAGCGCAUGUCUCUCUCU
rnacentral:rRNA from 1 species